rnacentral:tRNA from 1 species
GGGGCAUUAGCUCAGUUGGUAGAGCGUUUCCAUGGCAUGGAAAAGGUCAGCGGUUCGACUCCGCUAUGCUCCACCA